CGGACGGGUGAGUAACGCGUGAGAAUCUACCUUCAGGUUCGGGACAACCACUGGAAACGGUGGCUAAUACCGAAUGUGCCGAGAGGUGAAAGGCUUGCUGCCUGAAGAAGAGCUUGCGUCUGAUUAGCUAGUUGGUGUGGUAAAGGCGCACCAAGGCGACGAUCAGUAGCUGGUCUGAGAGGAUGAUCAGCCACACUGGGACUGAGACACGGCCCAGACUCCUACGGGAGGCAGCAGUGGGGAAUUUUCCGCAAUGGGCGAAAGCCUGACGGAGCAAUACCGCGUGAGGGAGGAAGGCUCUUGGGUUGUAAACCUCUUUUCUCAGGGAAGAAAAAAAUGACGGUACCUGAGGAAUAAGCAUCGGCUAACUCCGUGCCAGCAGCCGCGGUAAUACGGAGGAUGCAAGCGUUAUCCGGAAUGAUUGGGCGUAAAGGGUCCGCAGGUGGCAUUGUUUGUCUGCUGUUAAAGAGUUUGGCUCAACCAAAUAAGAGCAGUGGAAACUACAAAGCUAGAGUAUGGUCGGGGCAGAGGGAAUUCCUGGUGUAGCGGUGAAAUGCGUAGAUAUCAGGAAGAACACCGGUGGCGAAGGCGCUCUGCUAGGCCAAAACUGACACUGAGGGACGAAAGCUAGGGGAGCGAAUGGGAUUAGAUACCCCAGUAGUC
rnacentral:rRNA from 1 species